AACGAACGCUGGCGGCAGGCCUAACACAUGCAAGUCGAACGGGCACUUUCGGGUGUCAGUGGCAGACGGGUGAGUAACACGUGGGAACGUACCUUUCGGUUCGGGAUAACCCAGGGAAACUUGGGCUAAUACCGGAUACGUCCUUUGGGAGAAAGAUUUAUUGCCGAAAGAUCGGCCCGCGUCUGAUUAGCUAGUUGGUGGGGUAAUGGCCCACCAAGGCGACGAUCAGUAGCUGGUCUGAGAGGANGAUCAGCCACACUGGGACUGAGACACGGCCCAGACUCCUACGGGAGGCAGCAGUGGGGAAUAUUGGACAAUGGGCGCAAGCCUGAUCCAGCCAUGCCGCGUGAGUGAUGAAGGCCCUAGGGUUGUAAAGCUCUUUCGGCGGGGACGAUAAU
rnacentral:rRNA from 1 species